rnacentral:lncRNA from 1 species
UCUUAAUUUUAUAGACAAAACGGCAUAGCUUUAGUCUGCGAUUUUAAUGGCUUUAGCGGCGCUAGGGAAAAACGCCACUAAAUGUGCGCAUUAGCGGCGCGUUUAUAAAAACGCCGCAGUGUUGAGCUGUUGUUUAAACAAAACGUCACCGUUUUUGUGGGCAUUAGUGGCGCUACUGUAGAAACGCCGCAAAUUUUCAAUUAUUUCUGCUUCCAAAU